rnacentral:sRNA from 1 species
CCGGCAUCUAGGGUAGGCCACCCGAAAAGCAGAAUCCUUUCACUGCCUGAUGCUGGUUCCUAUUUUGAAAGG